UACGUAGGGUGCAAGCGUUAAUCGGAAUUACUGGGCGUAAAGCGUGCGCAGGCGGUUAUGUAAGACAGGUGUGAAAUCCCCGGGCUUAACCUGGGAAUGGCAAUGGAUACUGGCAGCUAGAGUGCGGUAGAGGGUAGUGGAAUUCCCGGUGUAGCGGUGAAAUGCGUAGAGAUCGGGAGGAACACCAGUGGCGAAGGCGGCUACCUGGACCAGCACUGACGCUGAGGCACGAAAGCGUGGGGAGCAAACAGGG
rnacentral:rRNA from 1 species